UUAAAAAGCUUUUACAAGUUUUAAAAUGCAUCCGGGAUUUCUGUGCACAUGUAGGGGGAAAAGGCCAGUUUAAAAACGAGUGCUCAUAGUUUUGAGCUGGACUUGACCUUUUGCUGUGUGCAGAAUAAAAACCCGAGACUGUUUUGGCCUUAAAAGUGGCGGAGAUGAACCUGACAAAGAAAUGCAGGCUGGUUUCCCAAGGCGAUUUAAAAUAGCUCUUUUGAAAUUUCCCACCCUGAGGCAAGUACCACCAGGAAUCUAUGGGGCAGAAAGUGUGCUUGCCUCGCGGAUUUAUUUUUAAGCUAAUCUCUUGAUUUCCCCAGCAGGAAAAUUGUGAGAAAUGUUGAAUGGAUGGUAGGCCAGUGAGCUGGGACUGGUCACUGGUGGUGGAUUGUGAGAAGGGCUGGACGCGGCCUAACUUCUCCUUCCUUGGUACCCCUGAAACGUCAGAGGGUACUUAUGGCCUCGGUUUUCUUGGGUUUUGGAUUUGUUUGUUUGUUUGUGAUGAAAAUCGUUUCUAUCUGAAUGAGACAUAGGUCAAGAAUCCUGUCCUGGGAUGUGGGAAGGAAAGGCCCCCACAUCUGUUCCUGUCAGGCCCCCAUCAGGGGACUUGGGCGGUGUUCCUGUUAUCUGCUCAAGAGCCCAAGACUGUAAAAAUACUUGUUCACU